UUUCUUCUCCUUUUGAUUUUUCCUUCAGUUUCGUAUCCUCCCCUUUUAUCAUUCCCUUAGCUCCUCCGAGUGGGAUAACCUUACGAACGCGAAAGGGAGCAGUCUGUGAGACACGCGAAAUCAAGUAAAGAUGAGAAACUUCGAAGUCCA
rnacentral:ribozyme from 1 species